rnacentral:rRNA from 1 species
UACGAAGGGGGCUAGCGUUGUUCGGAAUUACUGGGCGUAAAGCGCGCGCAGGCGGUCUUCCAAGUCAGUGGUGAAAGCCCGGAGCUCAACUCCGGAAUUGCCAUUGAAACUGUGAGACUGGAGUACGAGAGAGGUGAGUGGAAUUCCCAGUGUAGAGGUGAAAUUCGUAGAGAUGUGGAGGAACACCGAUGGCGAAGGCAGCCUCCUGGGCCAGCACUGACGCUCAUGCACGAAAGCGUGGGGAGCAAACAGG